rnacentral:rRNA from 1 species
AGCGAACGCUGGCGGCAGGCUUAACACAUGCAAGUCGAGCGGGCCCUUCGGGGUCAGCGGCAGACGGGUGUGUAACACGUGGGAACGUACCCUUUUGUUCGGAAUAACGCUGGGACACUAGCGCUAAUACCGGACACGCCCUUUUGGGGAAAGGCUUGAUGCCGUAGGAUGGUCACGCGUCUGAUUAGCUAGUUGGUGGGGUAAUGGCCUACCACGGCGUCGAUCAGUAGCUGGUAUGAGAGACAGGUCAGCGACACUGAGACUGGGAAGCGGCCGAGACUCUUACGGGAGGCGGCAGUGGGGAAUGUUGCACAAUGGGCGCAGUGCUGAUCCAGCCAUGCCGGGUAAGCGAUGAAGGCCGUAAAGUUGUAAAGCGCUUUUGUCCGGGACGAUAAUGACGGUACCGAAAGAAUAAGCCCCGGCUAACUUCGUG